UACGUAGGGUGCAAGCGUUGUCCGGAAUUAUUGGGCGUAAAGAGCUCGUAGGCGGUUUGUCGCGUCUGGUGUGAAAAUCCAGGGCUUAACCCUGGACCUGCAUCGGGUACGGGCAGACUAGAGUGCGGUAGGGGAGAUCGGAAUUCCGUGGUGUAGCGGUGAAAUGCGCAGGAAUAUCAGGAGGAACACCGGUGGCGAAGGCGGAUCUCUGGGCCGUAACUGACGCUGAGGAGCGAAAGCAGUGGGGAGCGAACAGG
rnacentral:rRNA from 1 species